rnacentral:rRNA from 1 species
UUUGAUCAUGGCUCAGGAUGAACGCUAGCUACAGGCUUAACACAUGCAAGUCGAGGGGAAACGACAUCGAAAGCUUGCUUUUGAUGGGCGUCGACCGGCGCACGGGUGAGUAACCCGUAUCCAACCUGCCCACCACUUGGGGAUAACCUUGCGAAAGUAAGACUAAUACCCAAUGAUAUCUCUAGAAGGCAUCUGAAGGAGAUUAAAGAUUUAUCGGUGAUGGAUGGGGAUGCGUCUGAUUAGCUUGUUGGCGGGGUAACGGCCCACCAAGGCGACGAUCAGUAGGGGUUCUGAGAGGAAGGUCCCCCACAUUGGAACUGAGACACGGUCCAAACUCCUACGGGAGGCAGCAGUGAGGAAUAUUGGUCAAUGGGCGAGAGCCUGAACCAGCCAAGUAGCGUGCAGGAUGACGGCCCUAUGGGUUGUAAACUGCUUUUAUAAGGGAAUAAAGUGAGAGUCGUGACUCUUUUUGCAUGUACCUUAUGAAUAAGGACCGGCUAAUUCCGUGCCAGCAGCCGCGGUAGUACGGAAGGUCCGGGCGUUAUCCGGAUUUAUCGGGUUUAAAGGGAGCGUAGGCCGGAGAUUAAGCGUGUUGUGAAAUGUAGAUGCUCAACAUCUGCAUUGCAGCGCGAACUGGUUUCCUUGAGUACGCACAAAGUGGGCGGAAUUCGUGGUGUAGCGGUGAAAUGCUUAGAUAUCACGAAGAACUCCGAUUGCGAAGGCAGCUCACUGGAGCGCAACUGACGCUGAAGCUCGAAAGUGCGGGUAUCGAACAGGAUUAGAUACCCUGGUAGUCCGCACGGUAAACGAUGGAUGCCCGCUGUUGGUCUGAAUAGGUCAGCGGCCAAGCGAAAGCAUUAAGCAUCCCACCUGGGGAGUACGCCGGCAACGGUGCAAAUCAAAUGAAUUGACGGA